rnacentral:rRNA from 1 species
AUUGUACCUUGUUGCUUCGGCGGGCCCGCCUCACGGCCGCCGGGGGGCUUCUGCCCUCUGGCCCGCGCCCGCCGAAGACACCAUUGAACACUGUCUGAAGAUUGCAGUCUGAGCAAUUAGCUAAAUAAGUUAAAACUUUCAACAACGGAUCUCUUGGUUCCGGCAUCGAUGAAGAACGCAGCGAAAUGCGAUACGUAAUGUGAAUUGCAGAAUUCAGUGAAUCAUCGAGUCUUUGAACGCACAUUGCGCCCCUUGGUAUUCCGGGGGGCAUGCCUGUCCGAGCGUCAUUGCUGCCCUCAAGCACGGCUUGUGUGUUGGGCCCCGUCCUCCUUCCCGGGGGACGGGCCCGAAAGGCAGCGGCGGCACCGCGUCCGGUCCUCGAGCGUAUGGGGCUUUGUCACCCGCUCUUGUAGGCCCGGCCGGCGCUUGCCGACAACCAUCAAUCUUUUUUCAGGUUGACCUCGGAUCAGGUAGGGAUACCCGCUGAACUUAAGCAUAUCAAUA